rnacentral:tRNA from 2 species
GCCCCCGUAGCUCAGUCGGUAGAGCACACCCUUGGUAAGGGUGAGGUCGAAGGUUCGAUUCCUUUCGUGGGCACCA